AAACCGUCCAGUACCUUCCUCAUUUCUCCCACAAACGCAAAAACCCUUCUUCUUCGCUCUACUCUUUCUCUCUCUUGUUCUUCAAAGAAGGCGUAGACGCCUUCGAUUUCUUCUUCAUUUCUGCUCUUUUUCUCUCUCCUAUUCAACAUUCUUUCUUCGUUUCAGAUCUAGUCAAAUUCUUUAGCCAAAAUGAGGAUUGAAAUGCCUGCUGGGAGCUUUACUGUCUUGAGCACGGUAUUCAGGUAUCUCUCUUGUUUUUUCGAUCUUUCAUUUUUAAUAUUUCUAUAUUCCGAAAAGUUGAUGUUAUAUUGUUUUGAUUUGGUUGAAUUCGUUGAUUUUGAUAUCGCAUUUUGGUAGAACAUGUAAAUAUAUGGUAUUUGUAUGCAGAUCUGGUGUCAUAUUAUUUUUUUAAGCAUUCGCAGUUUGGUAGAACAUGUAUGCAGAUCUGGUGUCUAUGGUAUUUUGAUAUAAUGAAUGCCAGAUCUAAUGAUUUACGUUUCAGAAUGAUGUUUUUCAAAAGUUCUGAUUUGUUGUAUGUUGAAAUUUGUGUGUAGAUGUUUUCUAUAAUCUGUAUGAUCUAAUUGAAGUCCUUAAAAUUAUAGCAUUUUUAGUGAAUUUGAUGAAAUUUACAAGGAUUUUAGACUGUCUUUGUGAAAGUCUUGAUCCCCCACCCACGUUUUUGCUUAACCGUGCGAUCGAGACUUAUGGCAAAUGCCAGUGUUUGCGUGAUGCCCGUGAACUGUUCGAUGAAAUGCCUCACAGAGAUGGAGGCAGCUGGAAUGCCAUGAUCUCUGCGUAUGCGCAAGGAGGGUCGUCGAAUGAGACUUUAUCGCUCUUUUUGAAUAUGACUAGACUAUUCAAGCAGGUGUAAAGCCAUUGAAAUUUACCUUCUCAAAUGCUCUUGUUGCUUGUUCUGCUAGGCAGGCUUUAUUAGAGGGAAUUCAGAUACAUGGUGUUGUGAUUAAGUGUGGUUAUGAAGAUGACGCGAAAGAUAUGCUAUGGCAGGAAGACUUAAAGAAGCUCAAGAACUUUUUGAUAAAAUGCCUGAGCGAAGCAUCAUCUCUUGGAAUGCAAUGCUGGCAGGGUAUGUACGUUUUGGCCAAUUGGAGGAGGCCCUAAGUUUUAUUUACAUGAUGCGCCAGGUUGCUAAUGAUGCUGAUGUCGUAACUCUUAUGCUAGUCUUAAAUGUGUAUGCUUCACUCUCAGAUAUAGACUUAGGCAAAGAAGUUCAUGCUUACAUCUACCGGCAUAGUUAUGAGUCUGAUAAAUAUGGGUAGCUGGGAUGCCGUUCCAGCCUUACCCCUACUGUACCUGAAGUCUCAGAUUAUGAUUCACAACGGCCAUCAGGUAUGACCUUCCUCUCAUCAUCACAGGAAUACUAAAUUCUGUAGUAAGUCAUUUUAGUGGGACUUAUGUAAGACUAUGCAUUUUGAAUGUUUACUGUCUAUUCUUUGCUUGCGAUGAGAUAGAAGGGAGAAAUAUUAAGCUAUAUGAUGUCACUGAUGAAAUGUAAACUGUAAACACUCACUUUUAAAUUGUAAUCUGCCGCGAACUUACUACUUACUACACAUGUUUGAGGUAAUGAAAGAAAGUUUCAAGUUAGCCAUCCAAUCCACUUAGUUCUUAAGGUACCCUUUUGCUUUUGGUCCAUGGACCUCAGUCUGUGUGUUCGUGAUAAUGAUUUUGUUGCGUAUUAAGUAUGGCCGAUGACGUCUUGACAUCAAAUGAAGGUAGUGAUCUAGGAUAUAUCUCAGAACAUAUAGAAAGCUACUGAUUUUGUCAUUAUCAGGAGUUAUCACAUGAUUAGUAUGAUAUAUUAAACUUAUGACUUUUCUAGUUAUAACAUAAUCUUCUGCUUUGAGUUUUUCUCAAGUCAUAUAUCUAUAAGAUCAGCAGUUCUUCAUUUUGCAAACUUUUUCUUUAUUGGUGUAGACUUUUGGGUCUAGUUGUUCUUUUCCAUGGUUUAUUUUAGGAAUGUAAUUAGAUAUGGAAGUACCUCUGAAACAAGUAAUGCUGGGAACUAGAAUGAAAACUAUAUCAGUGGCAAAACUUAUGCAAGGGAAGGGAAUCUCGUGAAUUAUAUUUAAGCAUAUCCAACAAAAAACAAGUAAUGCUGGGAACUAGAAUGAAAAUUAUAUUUUUGCUGUUUUUCGUUUAGUAUAGAUCAUCUGGCUGAAUCUGUUGGUGUGUAUUGUUGGCUGACUGAAUCCCUUCAAUUUCUAGUGUUGAACAUUUGAGCAUGUUUUAUCAUCUAAUUAGGUAGUAUCUAUAUUUUUGUUAAUAUAUAUUUCUGUAUUUUAGCAUCUAUAUUUCUGUAUACAACAUAAUGAACUAUUUCUGUAUUUGAGCAUGUUGAAAUAGUAUGUGAGGAUAUUUAUGACUUUAGUAUAGUAAAUAGUGUACUAAUUGUGAUUUUUUUUUCUUUUGCAGGUUUGUUUGGGUUUGAUAGGAUGACUUUGGAAAGGUUGAAGAUUGAAAAUUUGUAUAUUGAAGAAGAAAUGAAUUCUUUCUAAUGUAUUAGAUAGAUUUUUUGUUAUUAUUUAUUUAAGUAAGGUUGUAAAUUAUUCACAGAUUUGAUUUAUCAUUUCUAUUUAUAUUGUAAUUACUUUUAUUACAUAUAAUAAUAAUUAUAAUUUUUCCUCUAAA